CAUGCAACUAAAGCCGAAUCCCGGACAUUUUUGCAAAUUUAGAAAUCCCGGCCGGAUGCUUUUUUAAGGUCUGUAAUAGAGGACAUGUCCGGGAAAAAGAGGACGUAUGGUCACCCUAAAUUCACCAAACUUCAUUAAAUAUAUGUGCAGUCUUUUUAUCCGGUGCAGAGAUAACUAGAAAGGGGUAAUCCAAUUCCCUAGAGGGGGAGAGAGUUAUGUUAUGGAAAAUUGAUAUGUUCCCCUGCGCUGCACUCCUCAGUCUGCAAGAAGCACUCUAAGGAAAAUCUGAAGCAUAGCAGAGUUUUCCAGGAGUAGUCAGUUACAGAGGUGAAGGGCCAGGGAUGUCUUCUGAGUCUCUCCACAUGUCUUCACUAUCUUUCCACUAUUCAUAAACCAGAAAUACUAUGAUAAUAUAGCUGAGAAAACAGCUUUUGUUGACAUAAUUUUUCAAUGUCAUUGAUGCCUAAACAAUGCUGUGCAUCUUAUGCUUACAGUAAUAACUAUUUCUAUGUGCAGCAUCUCAGAAAAAUUGGAGUGCUUGGAAGUAAAGAAAUCUUCACUAUAAAGUAAUUGCCAUUAAUUCAUUGCCCUGUCUUAUCUCUAUCAACAGGCAGAUACCUACUGGCCACAUGCACAUAAACACAAUCAGUUUUUCAUGAGCUCAUGACCUAAAUAGUAAUGUGACACAACAAAUAACCAUUUAACCAGAUGCAAUGUUCAAACCCCAAAUC